GUGUGUUAUAUAGAGAUAAAGUCCAUGAACCUUAAGCACGUGUAACUGUUCAAUUGUCAAUCAAGAUAAGAUAGGUGGAGUCUCUAUAAACGUAAACAUUGAUAAGAUGAUAUAGCAAUAUCAUUACACGUUCUAACUUCAGAACGAUACUCAUGUUCAACAGUAUUUUCAAAGACCGAAAAUCGCUGAAGGAAAAGUGAUAUUGUGUUAGCCGUUUAAUUUGAUGAAUUCUCACAUAAACAAAUACAAAGAACCAAUGAUCCAAGAUGUACAGUUAUCAUUUUAGUAAUCUUGAUAUUGUAAUGUUAAUAACACUUGUAUAUACUCACUUUUAAAGUUGAUUGCAUGAUUUUGGCCACGUUUAUUUACCUGACACUGUUUACAUAUGCAAUACAACGUCAGAUCAUGUUCAUGUACUCUUAGAGAACUUAAAUGUCAAUAUAUGAGAUACACAACUCUCAGAGAACUCGAGGACUUAUAACAACUUACAGUAAAACAGAUAAUUUUAUUUGACUAUACAGAUAAUGUAAGGUAAUUAAUGCAGAAUAUCAAAACACUCGUACCAGUAAAUUAUGCACACCAUGUGAUAGUUGUGGUUUAAGUUAAAGCUUAGAAAUAAAUGAAUAUUAAUAAUGUUGAUAAAAAAUAUAGAAGUAAUUUAAUGUUUGCGAAAAAGUUAUGAAAAGAGAUAAGUAGAAAAUCGAUGUUUUCAUUACUGUGGAUUUUUUUCUCAAGAAAUCGUGACGAGACCCCAAAAUUAAAUCUCACACAAAAAGACCGCGCUGAAGUACAUCCAUUAUUCAUUUUUCAUUAUUCAAAAUUCAAUAAUGAAUAAUGAAAUAGUUCAUUAUUCACUAUUCAAUGUUUAGUGAUGAAUAAUGAAUAAUGAAAUAGUUUAUAUUUCAGAAUUCAAUAUGAAAAGUGAAUAAUGAAAUAGAAAAUUUAUUGUUUGACUGUGACACUAUAUCCC
rnacentral:lncRNA from 1 species